GUGCUCGCUUCAGCAGCACAUAUACUAAAAUUGGAACAAUACAGAGAUUACAUGGCCCCUGCACAAGGACAUGCAAAUUCGUGAAGUGUCCCAUAUUUUU
ensembl:snRNA U6 U6 spliceosomal RNA